AACGAACGCUGGCGGCAUGCCCAACACAUGCAAGUCGAACGAAGGCUUCGGCCUUAGUGGCGCACGGGUGCGUAACGCGUGGGAAUCUGCCCUUUGGUUCGGAAUAACAGCUGGAAACGGCUGCUAAUACCGGAUGAUGACGAAAGUCCAAAGAUUUAUCGCCAGAGGAUGAGCCCGCGUUGGAUUAGGUAGUUGGUGGGGUAAAGGCCUACCAAGCCGACGAUCCAUAGCUGGUCUGAGAGGAUGAUCAGCCACACUGGGACUGAGACACGGCCCAGACUCCUACGGGAUGCAGCAGUGCGGAAUAUUGGACAAUGGGCGCAAGCCUGAUCCAGCAAUGCCGCGUGAGUGAUGAAGGCCCUAGGGUUGUAAAGCUCUUUUACCCGGGAAGAUAAUGACUGUACCGGGAGAAUAAGCCCCGGCUAACUCCGUG
rnacentral:rRNA from 1 species